CUGUCCUGGAACUCAGAGAUCCACCUGCUUCUGCCUCCCAAGUGCUGGGAUCAAACACCCAGCUGCAUCUUCACCUUUCAGUGAGAGUCCCAUGUGUAGCAUGGGGACAUGCUCUCUGUGUGGUUGUGCUCUUCGCCACUUGUGAGGGAAUGUUUCAGUGUGUCUGCUGUGAACCCCAGAGAAGAUGAUGACAUGGGGGACUUUCAGGAGCGUGUGAGCUGCACAUACUCCCAAUCUCGACAAGGCCAAGAACCUUCUAGAAACGUGCUUGAAACAAUGAGAGUCCUGGAUCCAGGGAUUAAGGAUUAUUUUUCUCUCUCACUACCGCUCUGUGGAAUAAUCUUCAGCAUCUCUUACCACACGGAGAACACGUCUGGGUCCUCUAGACAGUUCUGCUCUGGCUUCCGGUGUCACAGACCAGUCAUACCGACACAAAAGCACAGUUCACAGCCAGGCCUCUGGAGCAAGGUAAUGGACAAUCUAAAUGGGGGAGAUAGAUCUGAAUCAACCUCAGGAAUGGAGAAACCCAAGCCACACCAUGACUCUCCCAUCCAGAGCCUCAGAGGGGUUCCCAGCUCAAAUGAUGCUUGAGUGGAAUUAACAGAGUGCUGGUUGACCAAGGGGCAUGCAGAAGAAAGUUCCAACCUUGAGAGACAGCAGAUGACUGUCCCCACAGUGGGUUGGAGAAGGUCUGUGGAGGAAAGAAGGACUGGGACAUCAAAGGCAGAUGUGGCCGCAAGGCCAAGAACCAGGAGGCCAACAACGCCAACAAGACUGUACGUGUCUUUGUGGAUAGAAAUUGUCACACUAGGAUAAAAACAGACAAGUCUAACGAAACAGCCUCACAAUAUGAAGUAAGAUCAGACAAACCCACAACAAUUUGGAAGUAAUAAACAAUAUUAAUUAAUGCAUUACAUCCCUCCAGAAAGUAGAUAAAAACAAAGG
rnacentral:lncRNA from 1 species